GUCCACGCCGUAAACGAUGUCUACUGGCCGUUGGCCUCCUUGAGGGGUUAGUGGCGCAGCUAACGCGAUAAGUAGACCGCCUGGGGAGUACGGCCGCAAGGUUAAAACUCAAAUGAAUUGACGGGGGCCCGCACAAGCGGUGGAGCAUGUGGUUUAAUUCGACGCAACGCGAAGAACCUUACCUACUCUUGACAUCCUGCGAAGCCUGUAGAGAUAUGGGUGUGCCUUCGGGAGCGCAGAGACAGGUGCUGCAUGGCUGUCGU
rnacentral:rRNA from 1 species